rnacentral:piRNA from 1 species
UCAGAGAUCUGAAUGAGCAUGGC